UACGUAGGGUGCGAGCGUUAAUCGGAAUUACUGGGCGUAAAGCGUGCGCAGGCGGUUUUGUAAGACAGAGGUGAAAUCCCCGGGCUCAACCUGGGAACUGCCUUUGUGACUGCAAAGCUGGAGUGCGGCAGAGGGGGAUGGAAUUCCGCGUGUAGCAGUGAAAUGCGUAGAUAUGCGGAGGAACACCGAUGGCGAAGGCAAUCCCCUGGGCCUGCACUGACGCUCAUGCACGAAAGCGUGGGGAGCAAACAGG
rnacentral:rRNA from 1 species